rnacentral:tRNA from 1 species
GGGUUCGUAGCUCUAACUGGGAAAGCGAUCGUCUUGCACACGAUAGGUUGCGGGUUCAAAUCCCGCCGAAUCCAC